UGACCCUUUAUUUGAAGCUUUUAAUCUGCAAAAGGAAUCAUUAAUUAGAAAAAUAACAUGUAAUAAAACUAUAACACAGACAGAGUUGUAAAUAAACAAGCUAUAAUAACAACUUUCAGACUCUGUUGGAUUGUGCUUUUGCACUGCUGUGCUGGGGAAUAACCUUUGAUUUUCUUAUCCGCUUUAUUGGUUGAAAUGGUGCAGUACUGAUUGCCAUUUGAAACUUCUCAGCUUAGUGGUUUUAAUUAUGAAUGAUAUAUAUAACUAUAUACAGUAAGAAAUGCAAAUCAGAAGAAAGGAAGCUGGGUUGUUUGGAUGUCAGUCAUAUGAUUGUGUUUAGGGAAGGAUCACAUGUAAAAAUUAUUUAUGCAUUAAUUCCAGUUUCCUUUUGUCAGUAUCAUCUUGCUGAUGCAGGGGAUGCUAUUCUGCCUAUAACCAAUACUAACAAUUUGAACUACUACGUGCAAGAAAUGGAUUCAGUGGGGAAUAGGGAGGUGAUGGCUUGGAAUAGAACAAUAAAUUCAGUGUUUCAAUAUCAAAAGAAGGGUGAUUCAUUUGCGAUUCUUCAUCACUGAAUGAAGUUGCAGUCUUGGAAUUGUGCUUCUAGCUUGGGAAGAGAGAAGGGUGAUUGUUCAUCAGAUUGAAAAAAACAUUUGCUCUUUUCCAAGGUAAAACACAAAAUAUAGAAGAGGAAAAUACACAGUUUUAAUUGAGGGCAAUAACAUGCAUGCAUGUGGCGGUACAAGCAAGAUAGACUUGUGUCAUCCAUUUUUGCUACAAUUUGCAAAGCCAACAAAGCAAUGGAUGGAAGGUGGAACUGGGAAUAUAUGUUACAAUUAACCAAAUCAUGAACUAUUUGUGUAAAAGCAACUUGUGCAUGCAUGCACGGCUCUUGGUGCAUGAUACUCCUACACACAUACAAAGAGAGAAACUGAUCGACUGAUCGAGCAUUGAUAUAUAUUUCUAAUGAUACAACUUAUACUUCUGCUUUU